UCUUAGAGUGGUUACAAUAAGAAAUAUUCCAUAAUACGUAUACAAAAAUGAAUAUAGCUGUCUCAGAAAAAAAAAAUCAAACAUUUCUUGACUUUCGGUAAGCUGAAAUAAGUGAGAUUCUGGUCUAAAAGAUUUUCUAAGCUAUGUCCCCAGCAUCCUAGAAAGGGAAUUCUCAGUGGCUACUCAAACAGAUCCAGUUAAAGAGGGAGACACAGUCAGGGGCCAGUAAAGACAGCGUUUGUGUGAGCAUGUUUUCAGUUCUUGAACUAAGAACUGUCAUUUGAAUAGCGUUUGAGCUGCUGGAAAUUCUUCUAGAAAUUCCAAGCAGCUCACCAAUUAGCUUUUACCUUGAAAUGUGAGUCUUUCUUUGAAACUUAUUUAAACCAUCUAAUGUACUUCUGCAUCUUUUGCUGUCCCUUCUUUUUUUAAAAAACCCAGAACCUGAUUACUAACCUGAAAAAGUGAAUUAGCAACAUUAGGGAAGAUAAAAGAACACUGCUUUGAGAACUCGGGAAAGCACCAGCACGUCUUUCUGGGAGGAGGAGAGAGAGAGAGCAUUCUAAAGGAGCUUCAGAGUUGUCACUUUCUACAGUCCCCAGUCGGGGAUAUUUGAGGCAUGAAGAAAACGCAGGGGACUCGCUGCCGCUUUGUGGAUCAAGUCCCAUCGAGUUCAGCUGGACUGCUUUCUCCACUUGUCAGUCUUCCUACGUCUGGUUCAUAGACACAGUGACCAAGUGCUUGGCUGUACUUACCAUAGGCGAUGGCACCCCACUCCAGCACUCUUGCCUGGAAAAUCCCUUGGACGGAGGAGCCUGGUGGGCUGCAGUCCAUGGGGUCGCUAAGAGUUGGACACGACUGAGCGACUUCACUUUCACUUUUCAUUUUCAUGCAUUGGAGAAGGCAAUGGCAACCCACUCCAGUGUUCUUGCCUGGAGAAUCCCAGGGACGGGGGAGCCUGGUAGGCUGCCAUCUAUGGGGUUGCGCAGAGUCGGACACGACUGAAGCGACUCAGCAGCAGCAGCAGCAGCAGCAGCAUGUACUCCAUCUUGGUCAUGAACGUGGAGCACAGAUUUUCUGCAAUAAUGUUUAUUUUUGAAAAACACAUCUCUAAAGUAUGUCCCUAUCUUCCUACCUUCCUAAGCAUCCUAUACAAAACACAAUUUAAUCUUUUAUCAUUAAAGGUAUCACUAUGUUAAAAAAAUUUUUUUAAGAAUAAUGGUCUGUUAACUAUCAUAACUGCAUAGUAUCAUAGACACAGAUGCUAUAGGGGAUUUACCUCCAUUAUAAGCUGAAUCCUAAAUAUUACUUUCAGGCAAAACUAAGGCCCUUGUAAUGGUUAAAUCAGUGUGCUUCCAUCACACUGUGUUACUUUUCUUUUUUUAUGCAACUACCUAUCCUAACAUUCUUAGAGACGUUCGUACCUUCUUACCAAUACUCCUCACAUUGUUUCUAAACCACUCCAUAGUGAUAGCGAACUAAAGUGCAAGGUGACUCUACAAAUCCUCAUUGGCAACAACACAGAAUACCUGCCCUCGCAGGCCUGAUAAAGAAAAACAGGGUGCCAUCUUAAAGAUUCCUUUAUGGUAUACAAUAACCUGGUCAAAUAGAAAAUAUCUUGUUUAAUCCAAUUCAUUUUUAUCAAGCACUAUGAUAAGCCAGGCACUGAGCUGCUAGGGGACACAACUAUAAGAUCCUCCCUCCCCAAGUUGUUACCAGUAGAAGGAGGAGGAGGUCCCACACACUAAGGACAGGUAGUGAUGACAGAGCUCAGAUGGUAAAGAAUCUGCCUGCAAUGCAGAAGACCGCAGUUCGCUUCCUGGGUCAGGAAGAUCUGCUGUAAAAGGGAUAGGCUACCUACUCCAGUAUACCCAGUCUUCCCUUGUGGCUCAGUUGUGAAGAAUCCACCCACAAUCUGGGAGACCUUGGUUCGAUCCCUGGGUUGGGAAGAUCCCCUGGAGUAGCAAAAGGCUGCCCACUUUGAUAUUCUGGCCUGGAGAAUUCCAUGGACAGUCCAUGGGGUCGCAAAGAGCCAGACACGACUGAACCACUUUCACUUUCAGCGAUGGCAUAAUGCUGAUGGAUUGAGAGAAGAGGAUUGAGGAGAGCCUCUGCGUAGAGGUGACCUUUGAGUUGGAUUUUGAAGUAUGAGAGGAAUGUUUUUGUUUAAGUAAAGGGAGAGAGGAAAAAAUACAGGCAUGAUCAUGGGGGCUAGGAAACACCCGGAAAAGUCCAGAGCUUGGCACGGUGCCUGAUGUGCUGGGGAUUCUCGGCUGAUACUUGCAGAGCUGUUGAUUUAAGCUUGCAUAGUGAGUCGGAGAGAUAGGAGAAAGUUAAAG
ensembl:lncRNA